rnacentral:lncRNA from 1 species
GAAUCAAGGCAUUUUUAUUUAUAUCUGUACUUAUCUUGUCACAUCAAAAGACUAACUUUUAAUUAGAGUUAAACUUUUAGUCCAAAUCUUAUUAGGAAUAGAUCUCUUUAAUUAAUUAGGCUUGUUACAAAAAAUCAAGCCACUGUGGUACAUCUGAGAUUAAUCAGGAAUAAGAGAGAAGGAGAUUAAUGAUGCCCUAGGACGUACAAGAGGAG